rnacentral:rRNA from 1 species
GCCCAGACUCCUACGGGAGGCAGCAGUGGGGAAUAUUGCACAAUGGGGGAAACCCUGAUGCAGCGACGCCGCGUGAGCGAUGAAGUAUUUCGGUAUGUAAAGCUCUAUCAGUAGGGAAGAAAAUGACGGUACCUGACUAAGAAGCCCCGGCUAACUACGUGCCAGCAGCCGCGGUAAUACGUAGGGAGCGAGCGUUGUCCGGAUUUACUGGGUGUAAAGGGGGCGCAGACGGCAGCGCAAGCCAGGAGUGAAAGCCCGGGGCCCAACCCCGGGACUGCUCUUGGAACUGCGCGGCUGGAGUGCAGGAGGGGCAGGCGGAAUUCCUGGUGUAGCGGUGAAAUGCGUAGAUAUCAGGAGGAACACCGGUGGCGAAGGCGGCCUGCUGGACUGCGACUGACGUUGAGGCCCGAAAGCGUGGGGAGCAAACAGGAUUAGAUACCCUAGUA